rnacentral:rRNA from 1 species
AUACGAGAGUUCUGGUGGGGAAAGGAGGACAAUCAUCAUAAGGUGCAUUGGAUGGCAUGGGACAGACUGACGAAACCAAAGAGAGGGGGAGGCAUUGGGUUUAGAGACAUGCAUCUGUUCAAUCAAGCCUUGCUGGCUAGGCAAGGUUGGAGGCUGAUUCAGAACCCGGAAAGUUUAUGUGCUCGAGUACUAAAAUCUAAAUACUACCCUAAUGGAGAACUACUAGACACGGUCUUUGCUACUGAUGCAUCACAGUCUUGGAGAGGCAUUGAGUUUGGCCUGGAGCUACUCAAACAAGGAUUAAUAUGGAGAGUUGGUAAUGGGAAGAACAUUCAGAUACAAAGGGAUCAAUGGAUACCACGGUCGAAAGGGUUACGAGCUGCAAACUUCACCCGGAGAUCCAGGCUUAGAUGGGUGAAUCAACUCAUCAAUCCCACCACAAGCAGAUGGGACGAGGGACUCAUUCAGCAGAUUUCAACCCUUGUGAUGCUACUGAGAUCCUCAAGAUUAAGGUCCCGCGGAGAGAGGUGGAGGACUGUGUGGCGUGGCAUUAUGAGAAAUCUGGAAUGUUCAGUGUGA